rnacentral:lncRNA from 1 species
CCAAACCUAAAAACUCCAUUCAACACUUGUUAGAAGCAUUCACUUCCAAAUUAUUCCACACGAAGGAAAGAGGGCAGCAUCAAUUGCCCCAAAAUCCAGCAGACCUUACCUAAUAAUUCAACGAAACAUCUACCACUAAGAGCAGGUUUAUUCCAAUCACUCCAGCAUUUUAUUUUAUUUAUGCUUUCUGUUCUACUUUUUCUUCUUAUGCAAAAAGAUCAGGUCUUUGGGGUUUUGGCUUGAUUAUCAAUCUUUUCUUCAGUUUAGUCUUAAGAUUCGUUUCAGAAAGGUGAAAACAAACUGAGGUUGGGUCUGAUUUGUUCUCUGUUAUUAAUUUGUUUAUUUUGAAUUUCUUACGUGACUUCUAAGUUCUCUUCAUUUUUUUUUCUUGUAUUUUACUUUCUUUAAAAGAUUGGUCAUUAAAAGACUGAACCCCAACGGGUUAUUACAUUUCUAUUAUUUAUACCAGUAGAAUGAACAAUAAAUUUGUUACUUAGGGUCUGCUGACUCCUUUUUUGGUUUGAAUGUUAUAAAUACAGUUAUCUUGUGGUAAUAAGCUUGUGAAAAAAUAUAUUCCGGUCAAAGAAACAAACCAAAUUUGCAUAUGCUUGUUAAUCGAUCUCUAUCCUUCAGAGUUAGAUUAUAAACUUCAUGUAUACCGGGAGAUGAAGACAAGUAGUACUUGGAACAAAAUAAAGAGGU